GGCGCACGGGUGAGUAACACGUAUCCAACCUGCCGUCUACUCUUGGCCAGCCUUCUGAAAGGAAGAUUAAUCCAGGAUGGCAUCAUGAGUUCACAUGUCCGCAUGAUUAAAGGUAUUUUCCGGUAGACGAUGGGGAUGCGUUCCAUUAGAUAGUAGGCGGGGUAACGGCCCACCUAGUCAACGAUGGAUAGGGGUUCUGAGAGGAAGGUCCCCCACAUUGGAACUGAGACACGGUCCAAACUCCUACGGGAGGCAGCAGUGAGGAAUAUUGGUCAAUGGGCGAUGGCCUGAACCAGCCAAGUAGCGUGAAGGAUGACUGCCCUAUGGGUUGUAAACUUCUUUUAUAAAGGAAUAAAGUCGGGUAUGCAUACCCGUUUGCAUGUACUUUAUGAAUAAGGAUCGGCUAACUCCGUGCCAGCAGCCGCGGUAAUACGGAGGAUCCGAGCGUUAUCCGGAUUUAUUGGGUUUAAAGGGAGCGUAGAUGGAUGUUUAAGUCAGUUGUGAAAGUUUGCGGCUCAACCGUAAAAUUGCAGUUGAUACUGGAUGUCUUGAGUGCAGUUGAGGCAGGCGGAAUUCGUGGUGUAGCGGUGAAAUGCUUAGAUAUCACGAAGAACUCCGAUUGCGAAGGCAGCCUGCUAAGCUGCAA
rnacentral:rRNA from 1 species